rnacentral:lncRNA from 1 species
UCCAACCUCCGGCGAGCUACCGCUUGCUGCGUCGGUGCCAGCCGCCUGUGCCGCCUACCCUCAAUCCUCAUCACAUCAGAGAGGUAGGUUGGGCGCUCCCGCUGCUUACGUGGUCCUACUGGGUAAGGCCAGGCCCAAUCGCCCUGAUGCACCCUGCCCGAGGCCUAGCUACAACUCGGCCUGCCUUCGUCAUCCCAGCUGGGCCAAAGAUCCACGAGGUGAGCUCUGUGUCGCUAUGCCCCACCUUCAACAUAGGAUCGUAUGUGGCAUCCAGGGAUUUCCAUAAUUAUGAAAAUGCCCAUAAUUUGCAUAGUCAUAAUUAAAUAACCGUGCAUCAUCUGUAAAAACUUUAUAUAUGUAAAAUGUGUAGAAUUUUGUGUAGAUUAACAAUAUACUACUUUCAUCGAUGUUUAAAAUAUCUAAACUCACUUUUUUCUAAAUAUACAUUAAAUGUCAUGUUAAAAUGAUUUAUUUCCUAACCAAAUAAUUGUAGCUCCGUUUCUAAUAAACUUUAUAUGAAAAAUCGUUUACUCUUCGUGCUCUACAUGAUUGUGGCAUUUGUAUGCAUAAUACGUUGCAUCUACAUGCUUAAAUCUCGGUUGCAAAAGUGCUUCGUGAAUAAGUUUAAAAACUAUUACUUUAUUCAAACUUGUGUGGAUGAUUGCAUCUAAUCCAUAGUUAUUUGGCAUAUGUCUCCUUCUUGAGAUUUGUUCUAUGUGAUGUCUACUUUGAUGCCAUGCCUCUGGUUUCCAUGUAAAUUACUGUUAGCAGGUUCAUUUAUUGCUGUGAAGAUGCUAUCAUGUUAAAAAUUGCUAAUCUAUUAACAUUAAGUUCCAUUUUGUGAAGCUCGAAUUAAUCAAACCAUGCCUCUUUUGAUUGUGUGCCGAUGGUGUGAUUUUUAGUAUGCCAUGUCUAAUUGUUGUUAGUAGGUUUUCCAUGCUAUGAAUGACAUGUUUAGAUGAAGUUCUUAUCAUGUGAACUUGCCAUAAAAGUGUUGUUGUUUUCACGGUCCAAAAUAAUUCUAAGUCUGGAAUCUGAUAUAUUUUGUUGCUAUGUUUCCAUGUGAAUUGACAUUAAUCUACAACCCUUUGUGGUUGGUCCAAUGGAUUGAAUCUUAAAGCAUGUUAUUGUGUGUUAGUUUGUGUAACUAGUUUUGAAGUAUAGGUUUUGCAUCCUAGUUAAUUUUACGGUCAAACAUGUCCAUCUGAUAAAAGUGAUGUUCCUUCUACUAUAUUAAUUUUUCUAAGUGUGAGAAACUGCUUAGUUGAGAUUGUCAUGUUGGGUGGAUGCUAGCAACGAUUGUGUGCAUAAUUAGACCUUGCUAGUAUGGAAUGAAAUGAAAUGCAUCAUGCCUACUACCAUGUUGUAAAUUUGUAUGCCGUCAUCUGUACUGUAGCAUAUGUUUUUCUUGCUACGAGUAUGCCUUCAAGAUAAAAAUGCAUGUUAAAAAUUGUUAAUUUCACUAAGUCCGAAAAUGUGUUCAAGUAGCCAUGUUGUGAGCUCAUUUCCUAUUGAUCCAUGCUUGUAAACAAUUUUCUCGUGUAAGAUGAAUUAUUUUGAUGUGUGCAAAAUGUCAUGUUGCUCUUUUGGACAGACUAUAGUUAGAACUUGUGUUGGUUGUAGUUGUUGAACCAUUGCUUCGUUUUGAACAUGCCAUAUAUUCAACUUUCUUAGAACCUCAUGUAAUUUGAUAAUAUCUUUCUGCAUCCAUGAUUUGGAAUGUUUGUGGUCGUCGGUUGCUUGCAUUUUGCAUUCAUGGCAUAUUAUCUUGUGUUGUUCAUAUCUUUUAGAUCGUAGCUCCGUUUUAGAUGAUCUAUAUAUGUAAAACGCCUAGAAUGACAUGUAGAAUCACAUGUUGAUUUUUUUACUGUUUAAUAGAUAUAAAAUAUGGUUAGUUUAGCUAUGGAUAUAUUUUGAAAUUAACAUAUAGGGUCAUUUUAGAAAUACUAUAAGUUGUUUCCGACCUCAUUUAAUAUACCUAGAUAGAUAGUCUAUUUAAGUUUCAUCUAUUGCCAUGCUAAGAACAUUUAACCUUGCCAUGUAAAUAAUUGAGAGUGAAUUAAGUAAUUUAAAUGGGGAGUUUCGUCAAUAUGCAACCCGUUGCAUAUUGAGCAUCUCUCAUUGUGUAGUAUUUGAUUGUUGUGAUUACCAUGCAUUGCAUAAUUAAAUGGACAUGCAUCAUAUUUGUUUACGCAUCAUAUCAUGAAUAUUUCAUGGUUUUUACCGUGUGUUGAUUGUUUUUUCAGUUUUUCUUCUUCUCUAUAGUGUUUUGGAACCGAUUCAGAGUGUGAAGAUUCCUUCGACUACGCCCGUUCGUCUACUUCACCGUUUCGUUCUUCUUCCAUGCAGGAUCUCACGCAAGCUGAUCAUUUCCCUAGAUACGAUUACUAUCAUUGCCAUGUUAAUUCUCUCAUUUCUAUCGCUAUGUCUUGCUUCCUACCACUUGUUUGUCAAGCCUCCCAAAAUUCCAUGAUAAGCCUCGAAGCCUCCACAUCCCAGCAAACCAGUGUUUGGCUAUGUUACCGCUUGCUUAGCCCUUCUUAUAGCAUUGUUAGUUGGAGGUGCAGGUUGUUCCAUGUGAUAACAUGGAUAUCUUGGGAUGUCAGAAUAUUAUUGGUAUUUAAUUUAAUGUCCAUAUAUAUUUUGUAAAAGGUGGAAGGCUUGGUCUUCUUCUCAGUAUUUUGUUCCACCUUUGCCGCCCUAGUUACUUGUGUACCGGUGUUACGUUCCAUAUUGAGUGCUCUUAACAUGCUUGUUGUUGUCAUGGGGAACCCCUUGAUAAUUCUUAUUAGACUAAAACUAUUAUGGCAAGGUCAAACUUUGGUACUACAUUUGCCUAAUAACUAACAAACAUGCAUACUGAGUAAUUAACCCGUGGAUAAUUAGUCAACAACCAGGGUCAAUGCUCCUCAUGAGUGUUGGUCCAAAAGAUUGCAUUGUGCAGGGACAACCCGGAGCAAUUUGGGAGAUUUCUAUCAGGCCAUUGUAUGAAUAGCUCAUCUGCCGUGUCAUGAGAAUGAGAUACGCGGCUCCUAUCAGAAUCAUCGAC